ensembl:snRNA U6 U6 spliceosomal RNA
GCGCUCACUUCGGCAGCGCACACACUAAAACCGGAAUGGCCCAAGAGCAGAUUAGCAUGGCCCCUGCGCGAGGGUGACGUGCAAAUCCAUGAAGCGCUCCACAUUAAA